rnacentral:rRNA from 1 species
UUCCGGUUGAUCCUGCCGGACCUGACUGCUAUCGGAUUGAUACUAAGCCAUGUUAGUCAUUGUAGUAAUACAAGGCAGACGGCUCAGUAACGCGUAGUCAACCUAACCUAUGGAUGGGGAUAACUUCGGGAAACUGAGGAUAAUACCCAAUAGGUCAUUAUACCUGGAAUGGUUUAUGAUCGAAAUGAAUUUCGCCGUAGGAUGGGACUGCGAGCUAUCAGCUUGUUGGUGAGGUAAUGGCCCACCAAGGCGAUUACAGCUACGGGCUCUGAGAGGAGUAGCCCGGAGAUGGGUACUGAGACAAGGACCCAGGCCCUAUGGGGCGCAGCUAGGCGAGAAAACUUUGCAAUGUACGAAAGUUCGACAAGGUUAAUCCGAGUGGUUUCUGCUAAAGGAACCUUUUGCUAGUUGUAAACUCUAACGAAUAAGGGGUGGGCAAGUUCUGGUGUCAGCCGCCGCGGUAAAACCAGCACCUCAAGUGGUCAGGAUGAUUAUUGGGCCUAAGCAUCCGUAGCCUGUUUUGUAAGUCUCCGGUUAAAUCCAUCAACUCAAGUGAUGGGCUGUCGGAGAUCUGCAAAACUAGGGAAUGGGAGAGGUAGACGGUACUCGGUAGGAAGGGGUAAAAUCCUUUGAUCUUAUUGAUGACCACCUGUGGCGAAGGCGGUCUACCAGAACAUGUUCGACGGUGAGGGAUGAAAGCUGGGGGAGCAAACCGGAUUAGAUACCCGGGUAGUCCCAGCUGUAAACGAUGCAGACUCGGUGAUGCGUUGGCUUGUUGCUAGCGCAGUGCCGCAGGGAAGCCGUUAAGUUUGCCGCCUGGAAAGUACGUACGCAAGUAUGAAACUUAAAGGAAUUGGCGGGGGAGCACCACAAGGGGUGAAGCUUGCGGUUCAAUUGGAUUCAACGCCGGG